AGGAAUAUUGGUCAAUGGGCGCGAGCCUGAACCAGCCAAGUAGCGUGAAGGAUGAAGGUCCUACGGAUUGUAAACUUCUUUUAUAAGGGAAUAAAGUCACCCACGUGUGGGUGUUUGUAUGUACCUUAUGAAUAAGCAUCGGCUAACCCCGUGCCAGCAGCCGCGGUAAUACGGAGGAUGCGAGCGUUAUCCGGAUUUAUUGGGUUUAAAGGGAGCGUAGACGGGUCGUUAAGUCAGCUGUGAAAGUUUGGGGCUCAACCUUAAAAUUGCAGUUGAUACUGGCGUCCUUGAGUACGGUUGAGGCAGGCGGAAUUCGUGGUGUAGCGGUGAAAUGCUUAGAUAUCACGAAGAACCCCGAUUGCGAAGGCAGCCUGCUAAACCGCCACUGACGUUGAGGCUCGAAAGUGUGGGUAUCAAACAGGAUUAGAUACCCUGGUAGUCCACACGGUAAACGAUGGAUACUCGCUGUUGGCGAUAGACUGUCAGCGGCUUAGCGAAAGCGUUAAGUAUCCCACCUGGGGAGUACGCCGGCAACGGUGAAACUCAAAGGAAUUGACGGGGGCCCGCACAAGCGGAGGAACAUGUGGUUUAAUUCGAUGAUACGCGAGGAACCUUACCCGGGCUUGAAUUGCAGACGAAUUGCUUGGAAACAGGCAAGCCGCAAGGCGUCUGUGAAGGUGCUGCAUGGUUGUCGUCAGCUCGUGCCGUGAGGUGUCGGCUUAAGUGCCAUAACGAGCGCAACCCUCGUGUCCAGUUACUAGCAGGUUAUGCUGAGGACUCUGGACAGACUGCCAUCGUAAGAUGUGAGGAAGGUGGGGAUGACGUCAAAUCAGCACGGCCCUUACGUCCGGGGCUACACACGUGUUACAAUGGGGGGUACAGCAGGCAGCUACCGGGCGACCGGAUGCCAAUCCCGAAAGCCUCUCUCAGUUCGGACUGGAGUCUGCAACCCGACUCCACGAAGCUGGAUUCGCUAGUAAUCGCGCAUCAGCCACGGCGCGGUGAAUACGUUCCCG
rnacentral:rRNA from 1 species